rnacentral:rRNA from 1 species
GAUGAACGCUGGCGGCGUGCUUAACACAUGCAAGUCGAACGGUGAAGCAGGAGCUUGCUCUUGUGGAUCAGUGGCGAACGGGUGAGUAACACGUGAGCAACCUGCCCCGGACUCUGGGAUAAGCGCUGGAAACGGCGUCUAAUACUGGAUAUGUGAUGUGACCGCAUGGUCCGCCUCUGGAAAGAAUUUCGGUUGGGGAUGGGCUCGCCGCCUAUCAGCUUGUUGGUGAGGGAAUGGCUCACCAAGGCGUCGACGGGUAGCCGGCCUGAGAGGGUGACCGGCCACACUGGGACUGAGACACGGCCCAGACUCCUACGGGAGGCAGCAGUGGGUAAUAUUGCACAAUGGGCGGAAGCCUGAUGCAGCAACGCCGCGUGAGGGAUGACGGCCUUCGGGUUGUAAACCUCUUUUAGCAGGGAAGAAGCGAAAGUGACGGUACCCGCAGAAAAAGCACCGGCUAACUACGUGCCAGCCGCCGCCGUAA